rnacentral:rRNA from 1 species
UUGUUGCAGUUAAAAAGCUCGUAGUUGGACCUUGGGCAGGAGGCACGGGUUGGCCGAAUGGCUCGACUCGGGUCUCCGGCCUCUAUGGGUGGUCGUGCCUUUGGUACGGUUCGCCCGGGUUACUGUGAAGAAAUUAGAGUGUUUAAAGCAGGCGAUUGCUUGGAUACAUCAGCAUGGAAUAACAAGAUAGGACCUGGUUCCACUUGUUGGUUUGGGGGCUUUGGUAAUGAUUAAUAGGGCCAGUUGGGGGCAUUAGUAUUCAGUAGUCAGAGGUGAAAUUCUUGGAUUUACUGAAGACUAACUAGUGCGAAAGCAUUUGCCAAGGAUGUUUUCAUUAAUCAAGAACGAAAGUUAGGGGAUCGAAGACGAUCAGAUACCGUCGUAGUCUUAACUAUAAACGAUGCCGACUCGGGAUCGGCAGACGUCGUUAGCGACACUGUCGGCACCGUGUGAGAAAUCAAAGUUUUUGGGUUCUGGGGGGAGUAUGGUCGCAAGGCUGAAACUUAAAGGAAUUGACGGAAGGGCACCACCAGGAGUGGAGCCUGCGGCUUAAUUUGACUCAACACGGGAAAACUCACCAGGUCCGGACAUAGUAAGGGAUUGACAGAUUGAGAGCUCUUUCUUGAUUCUG